UCGUUUCUUGGUUGAAGCUUUUUAAUUUUUGGUUCACGAUUGAAGUUUUUUUGAUCGGUUUUAAUGGAGUUUUCUGAUGAAGGUUUUUAGUUUUUAUUUUAGGAUUGUAUGAUUUGGCAAAUUAAUUGGAUGAUAUUUAAAGGUAUUUAUUCAAUUGUUAGUCAAGCAAUAAUUUGAAAACAAGGUGGUGCGUUUGUGUGGAGGUUAGUUGAGGAUUCCUUCUCUAAUUGCAGGAGAUAGCCAUUAUCAGCUGGUAGUAAGCUUUUAUUCCCAUAUGAUGAAGAGUUGUAGAACAUGGUGGUAGGAGUUGGAGGAGUACUACUGUGGCUAUUGCAAAAAGGAAAGGCCAUGCUUGGAACGUAGUUAGUAGCGGCUGUUAUGAUAAUCUGUUGUGGCUGAGUACUAUUAACUGUAAUAUUAUUACUCUCUGGGAGAGAGGUAAGGUUUAUAUCUUUCCAGA